CUCCUUCGGGAGGGGAUUAGUGGCGAACGGGUGAGUAACACGUGGGCAAUCUGCCCUUCACUCUGGGACAAGCCCUGGAAACGGGGUCUAAUACCGGAUACGACUACCGACCGCAUGGUCUGGUGGUGGAAAGCUCCGGCGGUGAAGGAUGAGCCCGCGGCCUAUCAGCUUGUUGGUGGGGUGAUGGCCUACCAAGGCGACGACGGGUAGCCGGCCUGAGAGGGCGACCGGCCACACUGGGACUGAGACACGGCCCAGACUCCUACGGGAGGCAGCAGUGGGGAAUAUUGCACAAUGGGCGAAAGCCUGAUGCAGCGACGCCGCGUGAGGGAUGACGGCCUUCGGGUUGUAAACCUCUUUCAGCAGGGAAGAAGCGAGAGUGACGGUACCUGCAGAAGAAGCGCCGGCUAACUACGUGCCAGCAGCCGCGGUAAUACGUAGGGCGCAAGCGUUGUCCGGAAUUAUUGGGCGUAAAGAGCUCGUAGGCGGCUUGUCACGUCGGAUGUGAAAGCCCGGGGCUUAACCCCGGGUCUGCAUUCGAUACGGGCAGGCUAGAGUUCGGUAGGGGAGAUCGGAAUUCCUGGUGUAGCGGUGAAAUGCGCAGAUAUCAGGAGGAACACCGGUGGCGAAGGCGGAUCUCUGGGCCGAUACUGACGCUGAGGAGCGAAAGCGUGGGGAGCGAACAGGAUUA
rnacentral:rRNA from 1 species